rnacentral:rRNA from 1 species
CCUACGGGAGGCAGCAGUGGGGAAUAUUGCGCAAUGGGCGAAAGCCUGACGCAGCGACGCCGCGUGAGGGAUGAAGGUCUUCGGAUCGUAAACCUCUGUCAGCAGGGAAGAACGGUCACUGUGCUAAUCAGCAGUGAAUUGACGGUACCUGCAAAGGAAGCACCGGCUAACUCCGUGCCAGCAGCCGCGGUAAUACGGAGGGUGCGAGCGUUAAUCGGAAUUACUGGGCGUAAAGCGCUCGUAGGCGGUAUGUCAAGUCAAGGGUGAAAUCCCCGCGCUCAACGUGGGAACUGCCUUUGAAACUGGCAGACUGGAGUGUGUGAGAGGAUAGUGGAAUUCCAGGUGUAGGAGUGAAAUCCGUAGAUAUCGGGAGGAACAUCAGUGGCGAAGGCGACUAUCUGGCACAUAACUGACGCUGAGGAGCGAAAGCGUGGGUAGCAAACAGGAUUAGAUACCCUAGUAGUC